rnacentral:lncRNA from 1 species
UUAUUAUGCAAUCAUUAUGUAAUCAAUUAUUAUGUAAUUAGUGACAAAAUCUAGGUAAGUUCACUUGAAUGAAUUUAGCUCUAUCAUCUCUUUAACUAUACUAAAAAUUUUAACAGAUUCUUAAUCAACGUAUCAUGGGCUUCAAAAGGGUGUCUCAGAUUGUCUCUAUGGUGUUCCAUUCUCUCAUAAAUCUCUAAUUAGUGUAAACAUCCUAACCACAUAAAAGAAGAUAAUGUUCAAUUAGGUGUAAAAUUUGUUCUAUACAUUCUAUCUGAAAUCUGAGACACCCUUUUGUAGAUAAUGGCCAUAGGAACAACAUAUAAUAAAA